UACCUCGCUGAUUCCUGCCAGUAGUCAUAUGCUUGUCUCAAAGAGUUAGCCAUGCAUGUCUAAGUAUAAGCAAUUUGUACGGUGAAACUGCGAAUGGCUCAUUAAAUCAGUUAUCGUUUAUUUGAUAGUACCUUACUACAUGGAUACCCGUGGUAAUUCUAGAGCUAAUACAUGCUAAAAACCUCGACUUCGGAAGGGGUGUAUUUAUUAGAUAAAAAACCAAUGCCCUCGGGGCUCUUUGGUGAUUCAUAAUAACUUGUCGAAUCGCAUGGCCUUGCGCUGGCGAUGGUUCAUUCAAAUUUCUGCCCUAUCAACUUUCGAUGGUAGGAUAGUGGCCUACCAUGGUGGCAACGGGUAACGGGGAAUUAGGGUUCGAUUCCGGAGAGGGAGCCUGAGAAACGGCUACCACAUCCAAGGAAGGCAGCAGGCGCGCAAAUUACCCAAUCCCAACACGGGGAGGUAGUGACAAUAAAUACUGAUACAGGGCUCUUUCGGGUCUUGUAAUUGGAAUGAGUACAAUUUAAAUCCCUUAACGAGGAACAAUUGGAGGGCAAGUCUGGUGCCAGCAGCCGCGGUAAUUCCAGCUCCAAUAGCGUAUAUUAAAGUUGUUGCAGUUAAAAAGCUCGUAGUUGAACCUUGGGUCUGGCUGGCCGGUCCGCUUCGCGGCGUGCACUGGUCCGGCUGGACCUUUCCUUCUGGGGAACCCUAUGGCCUUCACUGGCUGUAGGGGGAACCAGGACUUUUACUGUGAAAAAAUUAGAGUGUUCAAAGCAGGCCUUUGCUCGGAUACAUUAGCAUGGAAUAAUAGAAUAGGACGUGUGGUUCUAUUUUGUUGGUUUCUAGGACCGCCGUAAUGAUUAAUAGGGAUAGUCGGGGGCGUCAGUAUUCGGCUGUCAGAGGUGAAAUUCUUGGAUUUGCUGAAGACUAACUACUGCGAAAGCAUUCGCCAAGGAUGUUUUCAUUAAUCAGUGAACGAAAGUUAGGGGAUCGAAGACGAUCAGAUACCGUCGUAGUCUUAACCAUAAACUAUGCCGACUAGGGAUCGGACGGGCAACUUUGAA
rfam:Coccidioides immitis H538.4 supercont1.140 genomic scaffold, whole genome shotgun sequence.